CAGUAGCCGCGGGAAUACGUAGGUGGCAAGCGUUGUCCGGAAUUAUUGGGCGUAAAGGGCUCACAGGCGGUUUCUUAAGUCUGAUGUGAAAGCCCCCGGCUCAACCGGGGAGGGUCAUUGGAAACUGGGAAACUUGAGUGCAGAAGAGGAGAGUGGAAUUCCACGUGUAGCGGUGAAAUGCGUAGAGAUGUGGAGGAACACCAGUGGCGAAGGCGACUCUCUGGUCUGUAACUGACGCUGAGGAGCGAAAGCGUGGGGAGCGAACAGGAUUAGAUACCCCGGUAGUCCCUGUCUCUUAUAC
rnacentral:rRNA from 1 species